ensembl:snoRNA
AGGGUCAGUAAAGACUUAAUUAACCCAAAGACUGAGUUCUCCACUGGAUAUAAUAGUAACUUGAUAGUGCUAUGUUUUCCGGAUGGAGAUACAAGC